rnacentral:rRNA from 1 species
CAGUCGCCACGGUAAUACGAAGGGGGCUAGCGUUGUUCGGAUUUACUGGGCGUAAAGGGCGCGUAGGCGGACUGAUAAGUCAGGGGUGAAAUCCCAAGGCUCAACCUUGGAACUGCCUUUGAUACUGUUUGUCUUGAGUUCGAGAGAGGUAAGUGGAACUGCGAGUGUAGAGGUGAAAUUCGUAGAUAUUCGCAAGAACACCAGUGGCGAAGGCGGCUUACUGGCUCGAAACUGACGCUGAGGCGCGAAAGCGUGGGGAGCAAACAGGAUUAGAUACCCCAGUAGUCCCUGUCUCUUAUAA